CAGAGUAUUAAAACACUCCUGUAUAAACCAUUUGUGAACCUAUACCUUACGUUGCCUCGGCGGUCUUACCCUACAGCUUACCCUGUAGCGGGCGGACCGCCGGUGGAAAACCAAACUAUGUUUUUCUUUAGCAUCUGAGAGUCUUAUGAAAAUAAGUCA
rnacentral:misc_RNA from 1 species